CGAAGUAACCGUCGGAAGUGCGUCCGAUAAGAGAUCGUUGUUGCGAGAAUGGCAGGAAUAUUCGACCAGUCGCGAGUUUCGAAUUCAAUUUUGGCGAAUCACUUUGCUCGAAGGAACAGUAUAACCAGGAGAGAGACUGGUGCAGAACGUAUGAGGCCGUGGCUAAGACUGCGAGAGAGGAGCAAGAGUAAAGGUGGCUGGCAGUGGAGGAAAGAGGAGGAAACGAGGGAGAGUGCUGAGCCAGCAUAGCCGGCUUGUGCCAGCCUGCACAUCGAUACCAACCAGUCAGCCAGCAAGCCAACCUACCAAUGAACCCACCUACAGUCGAUAGAAACGUUUUUUUUUUUUUUCUUUCUUUUUUUUCUUACGAGGAAACGUUACACAUGCGAUAAAUCGAUGCGAAUUGAAAAUUCUCGAUCGAAAAUCGUUCUGACACCGCGAUCGUUGAUCGACGUUCUCCUAAGGGCUGAUGUAAUUUCUACGAAAGGAAACAAAAGUUAUGUCAGCGUUGACAACAGUAUCCAAAAAUAUAAUAACAUUGUGUGUAUAAUGAUCGAGACACAAGCUGUAUGCUGUAAAUUAAAUGUUAAAUGUUGAAUGAUGGCGACAUCGGACAAUAAGUUUGAUCAGUGAGGAAAUUGCGAAGCUUUCGAAAACACAUUCGGAAUGCCAAUACAGUGAUAUUCCAUAGGAUUGGCCUCACAGUGAAAACAACUCGUCUCGGUCAGACACAGCGACACAGGUUCAAAUAUGCAUCUCCACGUCCUGCUCGAUAACGAAAUAUAACUAUCGCACAAAUGUGCAUCUAGUUUAAUUUUCGAGCAUCGUCAGUGUAACAUUGUCUUAAAUCAAGUAAAUUGUAAAACAAAAUAGAAUACAAAUUUUUAACCAAUUAAAUUCCUUCUUAAAUCAAGUAAAUUGUAAACAAAAUAGUCUUAAAUCAAGUAAAUUGUAAACA